rnacentral:sRNA from 1 species
UGACAUUCACAAGACAUUCAUAAUCUUUUGAAUUUUUAUCAUACGGGAAGUACAUUUUAAAUGUAACCUUAAUUUUUGUAAGUAAUUACAUAGGUAUGCCAUUAGAAAUAAAAUUUUAAAGAGUAAAUUAAUUUAUCUC